rnacentral:misc_RNA from 1 species
CCUCCUCCUGGUAUUGAAAUGCCUGCGCUAUUGUUCAUCUUCAACCAGCAGCUGCACGACUACCUCCACCAAUAUGCACAGUUUGACUGGUGUGCACUUGAUCGAUUCUUUCGAGUCAGUUGAUCAUGAAGAAGAAAGAGAAGCGACAAUGUCAAUGAAGCCUUGGUUUGGAGCAAGAUUGAAGACCAGGGUCAUCUGAUUUGCUUAUGCUGCUUUUUUUUCCGCAAGCUUGAGCUUACUAGGCCACUUCUGUUCAAAGAUGGAGUCAAAGUUUGGA